UCUUCUUCUUUUCGGGAUUGAGGGGGGACGACAUGUAGCACAGCCACCUUCCGGACUGGAGUAGUAACAUUCAAGUUUGACAGUUUAGGAAAAGUAAGGAGUCCUUCUGAAUCACAAGUUAACCAGAUUAGUUUAUAAUGUCCACAUUAGAGACCGUUUAUAAAGUUAUAGACAAUGUUUGGGGAUAGUUAAAAUGGCGCUCUAACCAAAUCACAGUAGUGCAAAUAAUACAUGAGACUGUGGCCCCACUGAAGAACAUCAACAAGUUAAACCCAUUCAGUGAAAUGCAGAGAGGUCGGCUUAGUAACAUUUCAGGCUUAUGAAGACCUUCAGCUUCCCAUCCCCACCCCCCGAGAAAAUCUCCCCUACACUUCUCGAGAUGCCUCCAAAUUCCUGGCCAAAUGAAGCCUUUUCUUUGAGGAGCGACGCAAGGGCAUUCCUCAUCAGGGGGACACAAUACCCCCUUUCACCGUGGCCUGGCUCUGAAAUUUCACAGGUGAUGGGAGGAACGGUAGACACUCGAUCCUCCUUCCUCCCUCCGACGUAACGCAUCAGACUGAGGGAGAGAGAGAGAGAGAGAGAGAGAUGCUCUUUGGGAAUGUUUCGGCCCGGGAAAUAGGAGAGAAACAAGUCUGACUUAGUUUUAGUUGAUUAAGUUUAUAAAGAGAUAAAUAUAUAUACACCUCUAGAUCUUUUUCUACAUAAAAUGCUAAUUCCAGUCUGCACAUCAGUCUAAUAAAAUACUUUAAGGGAAAGGUGUGGGACUGACAGUGCAUGAGGAAGGGUAGAAACUGAGUGAAGUUUCUGGUGGCAAAAAGAAGCAGGACUGUUACUGCCUCUGUUGGCAAGCUGAGGUAAUGAUCCUGCAUCAAGACAUUAUGAAAUAUAAAGCAGUCACCGGGAUGAAUAUUGAUAUUUGUAUUUUUAGUCAUUUAACUGAGUCUGUCAUCUAGAGAGAACGUUAGAUGUUUAUAAUCAUGUCUUUUUUCAUGCAGGGGGCAGAGAUGUUGUCUUUACCCCGAGCAAAUGUUAGGCCACGACUCCUGAUGAAUAUAUAAGACUUUCUAUUUUACUGAGAGAAAAUGACAGCAGAACA